AAGGGCAAUCAACCCCACCAUGUCGUCUCAUCAAUGCAGCAGCCUCAUUUGCACAACCUUACAAGCAAACUAAUCCAUCAUAGUAAGCAUCUUGGUGUCUUCAACAUAGAAAGAUGGGGAAGAGCUGGCUCCUGGCUUUUAUCCUCUGGCAGACAAUUUCAACAGAAGCGGCGAUCACUGUGGGUGGUGGUGUUGGCAUUAAUAUUGGAAAUGCUGGUGGCGUUGGUGGUGGAGGUGUUUGGAUUGGUGGAGGAAUCAACAGCCCAACUCCAUCUGGGCCUUCAGUGUCCAAGCUCAGCACUGCUUACACUGCCCUCCAAGCAUGGAAAUCUGCAAUCACGGAUGACCCAUUGGGGAUUUUGAAGACUUGGGUUGGCUUAGAUGUGUGUUCUUAUAAAGGGAUCUUUUGUGCAGAUCCUCAAGGCGCAAUGGAUUCAGCUUCUGGACAAUUUGUUGCAGGCAUAGAUCUCAACCAUGCAAAUCUGCAGGGAACUCUAGUCAGGGAACUCUCUGCCCUUACAGAUGUUUCAAUCCUCCACCUCAACAGCAACAGGUUUUCUGGAGCAGUUCCCGACACUUUCAAAGACCUUUUAUCACUUCAAGAGUUAGACCUUAGUAACAACCAUUUCUCAGGUCCUUUCCCUAUAGUUACUCUAUACAUUCCAAAUCUCGUUUAUUUGGACCUAAGGUUCAACAGCUUCUCAGGACCCGUCCCUGAAGAUCUAUUCAGCAAGAGACUUGAUGCAAUCUUCCUUAAUAACAACCAGUUUGAGGGAGAACUUCCGCAAAAUCUGGCUAAUUCUCCAGCUUCGGUGAUAAAUUUGGCUAAUAACAAAUUCAGUGGAAACAUCCCAGCUAGUUUUGGCUUCAUGAGUUCUAAAUUGAAGGAGAUUUUGCUUCUUAAUAACCAGUUAACGGGUUGCAUUCCAGAAGGAGUUGGGCUCUUCUCGGAGAUGCAAGUUUUUGAUGUGAGCCACAAUUCACUCAUGGGUCAUUUGCCUGACACGAUAUCUUGCCUGAAUGACAUCGAGGUUCUCAAUUUGGCACACAAUAAGCUAUCUGGGGAACUGCCUGACGUGGUUUGUUCUCUAAGGACACUUAUGAAUUUGACUGUUGCAUACAAUUUCUUCUCUGGGUUUAGCCAGGAAUGUUCCAAGUUGUUCUUUAGGAAUGUGGGUUUUGACUUCUCACUUAAUUGCAUUCCUGGGAGAAACAUGCAGAGACCACAACCAGAGUGCUCUGUGAUCCCUGGAGGCGGGUUGAGUUGUCUGAGAAUUCCUGCUGCACAGCCUCUAGUUUGUGGGGGGUUGCUUGGGAACUUGGAGGUUAAUCUAACCUCAUCAUCCCCAUGAUAUCUCGUUGUAUAACAGGUAGGAAUACUACUUAUCGUAUCUUGGCUAGCCAAAAGAAAAUCCGAUUAAAAAGACAGGAUGCGUUGUCGUCCUGUCUGUAUCCUUUAGCGUCAUAUUGUUAUUUCUGUGCAAUUAGCUCCUUUCUCCAAGCUCCUCAGCCCUUGGAAUCUCAAGGGUCCAAAUUCCCUGCCCGAUGGCCUAGGAGUCUUGCUAGGACAUUUUAGAAUGCUAAAAUAUCCAUGGCAACGGUUUGACCCUUCAACUCCAAGCUGUGGAAGCCCAGGGGCUAAGCAACCGUUAUCAAGACGAGAGUUUAGUACUAUAAUACGCCUGAAUCAUCUUCCACUUACCUUCCUGAUCAAAGAAGAAGAAUUUUGCAUGAGGAGUCCCGCACUGGAUUCCAAUUGCCAAAGUCUAUAAGUAUCCAUGUGAGCUCAUAGGGUAACAUCAAGUAUAUUGUACUAAUUACUUAGCAGUAUAUUGUUAAUAUUUUAAUGAGCACAUGACUCGCAUCCAGUGCAUCUUGCAGAAAAAAACACAGAGAGCAGAUCAAGUGCAGUGGGCUCGCACGCAUCCAAUAAGACUCCAUCAUUAUUUAACAUUAUCACUUCCACGUGCAUUUCUUCUAUUGGUUUCCUUAUUAUGGUGGACGCACAAGCCUAACCUAACCUUCCCCGACACAAAUAACAUUACACAAAUAACUACCUUCAUCAUAUCUUGAGCAAAGACAAAGCACAUCCAUCCAAUCUAUUUGAUUAAAGCUAAAAAUAACAGAGUUCAC